UACGUAGGGGGCGAGCGUUGUCCGGAAUCAUUGGGCGUAAAGGGCGCGUAGGCGGCCUGGCAAGUCUGUGGUGAAAGCUCGUGGCUCAACUGCGAGUCGGCCAUAGAUACUGCGAGGCUCGAGUCGACUAGAGGCAGAUGGAAUUCCGGGUGUAGCGGUGGAAUGCGUAGAGAUCCGGAAGAACACCGGUGGCGAAGGCGGUCUGCUGGGGUCGGAACUGGACGCUGAUG
rnacentral:rRNA from 1 species